rnacentral:rRNA from 1 species
GCAGCAACGCCGCGUGAGCGAUGAAGGCCUUCGAGUCGUAAAGCUCUGUCCUAAGGGAAGAUAAUGACGGUACCUUAGGAGGAAGCCCCGGCUAACUACGUGCCAGCAGCCGCGGUAAUA